UCUAAGGUAGAAACAUUUAUGUUUUUAUUCUUUGUUUAUAUAAUUUAUAACCUAGACAGUUUUGUUUUUAUUUUAAAUAAAACUGAAACUGUCUAAACUAAAAUGGAUAAUAUUCUUGAAGAACUUUCGUUUGGGGACGAAAUUAGCAAAUGCCGUUAUACAUUUAGCAGAUGUACCUACCUCAAAUUAUUCCAGAAGGAUGAGAUGAAAUUAAAUAUAUAUAAACCAUAAUUCAAUAUCCAAUUUAGAGAACAUUUUCGUAUGUCCAGAACUACUUUCCAGGAACUAUUUAAUUGUAUUGGUCAUAUCCACCAAUUUGAAAACAAUAAUUCUAUUGGAAAAAAUUAAUGUUUAUGAUGUGGAUGCUAAGUAAACCAGAUAAUUUGUUGCUGGGGAUACGUUUGGUUUGCCAAAGAGCUCUGGACAUAAGAUUUUCACCCAAAUAAUAUAGAAUUACAAAAAAUUGGAAAUAACUAAUCUUGAAUAUCAAUGUGUAUAUUGAGUUUAAUUUUAUUGUAAAUAUUCUAUAAUAUAAUUUUAUUGUAAAUAUUAUAUUAACACAUUUGUGGACACAUUUUCAUAUGCAGACAGUAAUUUCCCUUUGUAAGUACAUGCAUAUAUAGUCGUAUCUGCGAAUGGGUUAAUUGUAAAUCGUAAUCAAUAAAAAUUUUUUGUGAAUCAAUAAAAAACUGGUUUGUUUGAAAAUAAAUGUAGUACAAAUGUG
rnacentral:lncRNA from 1 species